rnacentral:rRNA from 1 species
UCUACGGGAGGCAGCAGUGAGGAAUAUUGGUCAAUGGACGAAAGUCUGAACCAGCCAAGUAGCGUGAAGGAAGACUGCCCUAUGGGUUGUAAACUUCUUUUAUAUGGGAGUAAAAGGUUACACGUGUAUCUGUCUGUAUGUACCCUAUGAAUAAGGAUCGGCUAACUCCGUGCCAGCAGCCGCGGUAAUACGGAGGCUUCGAGCGUUUUCCGGAUUUAUUGGGUUUAAAGGGUGCGUAGGGGGUUUGUUAAGUUAGUUGUGAAAUUUUGGGGCUCAACCGUGGAAUUGCCGUUGAAACUGGUCGGCUAGAGAGGAGGAGAGGUAGGCGGAAUGCGUGGUGUAGCGGUGAAAUGCUUAGA